rnacentral:rRNA from 1 species
UACGAAGGGGGCUAGCGUUGCUCGGAAUUACUGGGCGUAAAGCGCACGUAGGCGGCUUCUUAAGUCGAUGGUGAAAUCCUGGAGCUCAACUCCAGAACUGCCUUCGAUACUGGGGAGCUAGAGUCCGGGAGAGGUGAGUGGAACUGCGAGUGUAGAGGUGAAAUUCGUAGAUAUUCGGAGGAACACCAGUGGCGAAGGCGGCUCACUGGUCCAUUACUGACGCUGAGGUGCGAAAGCGUGGGGAGCAAACAGG